rnacentral:rRNA from 1 species
UACGUAGGGUGCGAGCGUUAAUCGGAAUUACUGGGCGUAAAGCGUGCGCAGGCGGUUUUGUAAGCCAGAUGUGAAAGCCCCGGGCUUAACCUGGGAAUGGCAUUUGGGACUGCAAAGCUUGAGUGCGGCAGAGGAGACUGGAAUUCCUGGUGUAGCAGUGAAAUGCGUAGAUAUCAGGAGGAAUACCGAUGGCGAAGGCAGGUCUCUGGGCUGACACUGACGCUCAUGCACGAAAGCGUGGGGAGCAAACAGG